rnacentral:lncRNA from 1 species
CUACUAUAUUUUUAUAUUUUUAUAAGCAGAGAGUUUUUCGUACUCAUAAGUUAUUUUGGAUAAUAUAGCUUCCGAAUCGAUAAUCCACUUUGUUAAAUAUAAGUUAGAGUAUUUAAAAUUUAUAAAAAAUAAAUUUUGUAAUUUUUCAAAAUCAUAAUAACGUUUAUUAAGUAUGUGUAAAAUGAACUGUCAAAAUUGAACAACGUCUUAAAAAUGAAUAAUCGAAUUUUUCAAUUUAAGAUCGGAAUUAUUGAUCUUUAUUUAAAUAGUGAAUAAAUUUUUUAUUAAAAAUUCAAUCUAUUUUUAUUUU